ensembl:lncRNA
AUUCUCCAGGCAAGAACCCUGGAGCGGGCUGCCAUGCCCUCCCUCCUCCAGGGGAUCUUCCCCACCCAGGGAUCGAACCUGCGUCUCCUGCAUUGCAGACAAAUUCUUUCCCGGCUGAGCCAUCAGGGAAGCCAGGCUUCCCCGAGGCGCAGUUAGUAAAGAAUCCGCCUGCAAGGCCGGAGACCCCGGUUCAAUCCCUGGGUCAGGAAGAUCCCCUGGAGACGCAAUAGGCUCCCCACUCCAGGAUUCUUGGGCUUCCCUUGUGGCUCAGCUGGGAAAGAAUCCGCCUGCCAUGUGGGAGACCUGGGUUCCAUUCCUGGGUCAGGAAGAUCCCCUGGAGAAGGGAAAGGCUACCCACUCCAGUAUUCUGGCCUGGAGAACUUCAUGGACUGUAUCAUCGAUGGAGUCGCAAAGAGUCG